rnacentral:rRNA from 1 species
UACAGAGGGUGCGAGCGUUGAUCGGAGUUACUGGGCGUAAAGGGCGCGUAGGCGGUUAUAUGAGUGUGAUGUGAAAGCCCCGGGCUUAACCUGGGAAGAGCAUCGCAAACGAUAUAACUGGAGUAGAUGAGAGGGUGGUGGAAUUUCCGGUGUAGCGGUGAAAUGCGUAGAGAUCGGAAGGAACGUCAAUGGCGAAGGCAGCCACCUGGCAUCAUACUGACGCUGAGGCGCGAAAGCGUGGGGAGCGAACAGG